rfam:Myotis brandtii contig184076, whole genome shotgun sequence.
GGCGGUUCUUGGGUGACACUCCCGGAAUCGGGCUCCCUCCUCUCUGGUUCUGGGUGUGUCACCUGAGAACCACA